GUAAGGAAUAUUGGUCAAUGGGCGCAAGCCUGAACCAGCCAUGCCGCGUGCAGGAAGACGGCCCUCCGGGUUGUAAACUGCUUUUGUACGGGAAUAAACCUCUCUACGUGUAGGGAGCUGAAUGUACCGUAAGAAUAAGGAUCGGCUAACUCCGUGCCAGCAGCCGCGGUAAUACGGAGGAUCCAAGCGUUAUCCGGAUUUAUUGGGUUUAAAGGGUGCGUAGGCGGCCUGUUAAGUCAGGGGUGAAAGACGGUGGCUCAACCAUCGCAGUGCCCUUGAUACUGAUGGGCUUGAAUAGACUAGAGGUAGGCGGAAUGUGACAAGUAGCGGUGAAAUGCAUAGAUAUGUCACAGAACACCGAUUGCGAAGGCAGCUUACUAUGGUCUGAUUGACGCUGAGGCACGAAAGCGUGGGGAUCGAACAGGAUUAGAAACCCGUGUAGUCC
rnacentral:rRNA from 1 species